rnacentral:rRNA from 1 species
GAUGAACGCUGGCGGCGUGCCUAAUACAUGCAAGUCGAGCGAACAGACGAGGAGCUUGCUCCUCUGACGUUAGCGGCGGACGGGUGAGUAACACGUGGAUAACCUACCUAUAAGACUGGGAUAACUUCGGGAAACCGGAGCUAAUACCGGAUAAUAUAUUGAACCGCAUGGUUCAAUAGUGAAAGACGGUUUUGCUGUCACUUAUAGAUGGAUCCGCGCCGCAUUAGCUAGUUGGUAAGGUAACGGCUUACCAAGGCAACGAUGCGUAGCCGACCUGAGAGGGUGAUCGGCCACACGGGAGCUGGGACACGGUCCAGGCUCCUACGGGAGGCAGCAGUAGGGAAUCUUCCGCAAUGGGCGAAAGCCUGACGGAGCAGCGCCGCGUGAGUGAUGAAGGUCUUCGGAUCGUAAAGCUCUGUUAUUAGGGAAGAACAAAUGUGUAAGUAACUAUGCACGUCUUGACGGUACCUAAUCAGAAAGCCCCGGCUAACUACGUG